rnacentral:rRNA from 1 species
GCCUACAACCAUAUCACCCUGAAUGCGCCCGAUCUCGUCUGAUCUCGGAAGCUAAGCAUGGUCGAGCCUGAUUAGUACUUGGAUGGGAGACUGCCUGGGAAUACCAGGUGUUGUAGGCU